rnacentral:rRNA from 1 species
UACAGAGGGUGCGAGCGUUGUCCGGAAUCACUGGGCGUAAAGGGCGCGUAGGUGGCGGGCCAAGUCAGUGGUGAAAGCUCGAUGCUCAACAUCGAGUCGGCCACUGAUACUGGUUUGCUUGAGCACUGUAGAGGCAGAUGGAAUUCCGGGUGUAGCGGUGGAAUGCGUAGAGAUCCGGAAGAACAUCGGUGGCGAAGGCGCUCUGCUGGACCAUAAGUGACACUCAGGGACGAAAGCUAGGGGAGCGAAUGGG